rnacentral:lncRNA from 1 species
CCGAUCUUUGCUCUCCUCCAUAGCUGGGGUGUCUUCAACUUUCAAGCUUCAUAGUAAGUGAUUCCAAGCCCCGUUUUUAAUGAUCUUUACGUUUUUGGAGUCCCGAUAACUUGAUUAAGCUUAUUCUAGCAAUAAUUCAACCUAGGGUUCAUAUUUGGAAAAAUACCCAUAGCUGAAAUUUGUGUAUUUUGGUGUUUUAUGAUAGAAUAUGACGUUUUAAAUUAUGUUAAACAACUUAUGCUACUCGGUUUUAAGUGAAAACGAGUAAAAGGGCUUAAAUCGGAAAAAAAUACCAAUAGUCAUAAGUAUAUGUUAGAGUCUGAUUUUGAUAUUUCCAUAGAAGGGAAAAAUGAUCAGCAUGUCAUAAAACAUAAGAAAAUAGGAUGAAGUUUAAUUUACGAGCCUUGGGGCAAAAGUGCAAAUAUGUGAAAGUAACCUAAAAACAGAUUCAAGUAACAGAAAUGAUGUAACUUUGAAAAAUCACUAAAAAUUGUAGAAACAUAGUUUGAAGAUGAAUAAUAUAUGAAAUUAAAUCUUAUUAUGUCUAUUUUCUUAUGGAAUAAGCAAAAUAGGUAAAGGUUUUGUAUUUUAUAAGAUAUCUGAGUUUUAGUGAAAUAGGGCCAGAGCAAUUUCUGGAUCCCCUGUUCCAACUUUAGAAAUUCACCAUAAAUUUUACAAAAAUAAUUAGGUGAUGUAAUUCAUAUUUCUAGAAUCCUCAUUUAAUCUAGUUUUAAUAGAAACAAGCGGUACAGUCAUAUGAAUUUUGUACAGAGAUAAAAGUGGUUCGUAGUAAGUAGAGGGCAGUGCAGUCGAAUUCUGAAACAGGAGUAACUUUAACUAAUAAACUGUACUAAUUGGCUGAGUCAAAAAUUCUAGAAAAAAAUUAGUAGAUAGAUAUAUGAGUCUAGUUUCAGGAAAAAAUUACGGAUCUUAAUUUUGAGUUUUGAAACUCGAGAAAUGAAUUUUUAAGCAACCAUGAUGCAGAAAAAUAGUUUAUUCCGAAAAUUAAAAUAAGUAGUUUAGAGUUGUUUAAAAGGUAAGAUAAGUUUAGUAACACCUCAAGCUUGACUCCGGUGACGGUUUCGGGAGUGGGGGUGUUACACCACUUGUUAGGAUCGACCCGAUUAAGCAACAAUUAAAAAAAAUAGUAGAAUAAAUUGAGAAAUUGAACACACAAAUUUAACGUGAAAAAACUCUUCCAAAAAGGAUAAAAAACUAUAGGCAAAGAUAAUUUUACUAUAAUGGAAAAAGAACGAAGAGUACAAAAGAUGGAGAUAAAAAACUAAACCCCGAAAACUCGAAAACAAAGAACUCUCAAAACAUAAACACAAAAUUCUCUAAAUGUGUUAUGAGUUCUAAUCUCUAAUAGGUGUUAUUUCUAAGGUUGUAAAAGAGCCUAUUUAUAGGCUAAAUUCAUAGGUCAAAUAAUAAUAAAAUAAUCUAAACUAAUCCGUGUUUGAUUGAAACAAAUAAAUAGAGUUUAACUAGAAGAUUAUUUCUCAAAUUUGACUGAAAUAGGAGUUAUACUUAACAGUGAGUAAUUUGGUAUAGGAUGGUUAAACGACACAUCUAUGAUGCUUAACUUUUAAAAACUAUCAAAUGGUAAAGGAAGAAAUUUAAUUUUAUUUAGUUUAGAGCACUACUUAGCAUUUCAAUUGCUUAGCAUGUGGUACUUUUUUUUCCCUAACGCGGUUCAUAAAAUGAUCGUAAAUGCGGUAUUAGAUCUCUCAUUCAUCAAGUCACUCCUUAGCCUGUUGUAAUUAUUACUUUUAGUACUUUACUUUGGAUUGUUGAAAUGGCAUGUAUUAAGUGUCCCCAGUUUGGCCUUAUGCUCAUUAUAGUUUUUGGUGUGCUUUGGCUUAGAAGAGCCUAUAAUAUUAGUUGAUGUGGUUAAGUUUAACUGUUGGUUAUGGUUUAAGUUGUGAUCUAUGUUGAGAAAUGAGUAAAAUUGAUUAUAUAGUUGUGAGUUAUAAUCAAAUGAUUUAGGGUGUAUGGAGGUUAAAUAUAGGCUUUGCUUGUGUAAAAAGUAACUUAGGAGUCAAGAUUUGGGUUGCCUUAUAGCAAGAUAUUGGUACCAAUACAAUUGAAGUUAGUAUCUAAGUGAAUGUUUGAGAGAAAGCUAUUAUAUCUUAAUUCUUGUAACUUUUUAUGUGUAUAUUAGCCUUAUAAUUAAAGGCCUUAUGCUCAUUAUGGUUUUUGGUUUAGAAGAGUCUAUAAUGUUAGUUGAUGUGGUUAAGUUUAACUGUUGGUUAUGCUUUAAGUUGUGAUCUAUGUUGUGAAAUGAGCAUGGUUGAUUAUAUAGUUGUGAGUCAUAAUCAAAUGAUUUAAGGUGUAUGGAAGUUAAAUAUAGACUUUGCUUGUGUAAAAAGUAACUUAGGAGUCAAAUUUUAGGUUGCCUUAUAGCAAGAUACUGGUACCCAAGGUAAGGGUACCAAUACAAUUGAAGUUAGUAUCUAAGUGAAUGUUUGAGAGAAAUAUGGAAUCAAUAUCUAAAUCCUUGGCAUCGGUACCUAAUUGGAAGGAGUCGAUACCCUCUAAAUUAGCAGUUAAUUAAUUUUUUAGAAUAGUUCAACAUCGAUACUUGUGAGGCAUCGAUAUUUCAAGUCUCAAGUAUCAGUACCCCUCUGGCGGUAUCAAUACCUACUCCUAGUUCCUGUAACGAUGUAUAGUCUAGCGUAAUUUAGGUUUUCAUGAUGUGAAUAAAUGUUUGAAGUGGUUUUUAGUGGCUCCAAACUUACUACAAUUAUCUGGCAAAAAAAAUAUUACGGUUAACUUUGUACUUUGACUGACUAUUGAUGCCUUCGUGUAUCAGAUGUAACAUCACUUAUUGGGAAUAGGUCCUUGAUCCAGUUAAAGGGUGUUACAAUUAUUUUAUGGUAAAUUUGGUCACAUCGUACCUCAAAGUUUCAAGCUCCUUAAUCAUUUAAGAUGGCAACAAAAUACAGUUGCAACAAAAUACAAUUGUUGCAUGCAAAGUUCCCACAAGACAAGCAACAACUAGAUCUUAUAAUAAAGUAUGGUUGAGGAAAAUUCAACCUUAAGUUAGUUAUGAAGAUCAAUAAGAGAUUGAUGUUUGA